GAGUUUGAUCAUGGCUCAGGAUGAACGCUGGCGGCGUGCCUAAUACAUGCAAGUCGAGCGAACGGACGAGAAGCUUGCUUCUCUGAUGUUAGCGGCGGACGGGUGAGUAACACGUGGAUAACCUACCUAUAAGACUGGGAUAACUUCGGGAAACCGGAGCUAAUACCGGAUGAUAUUUUGAACCGCAUGGUUCAAAAGUGAAAGACGGUCUUGCUGUCACUUAUAGAUGGAUCCGCGCUGCAUUAGCUAGUUGGUAAGGUAACGGCUUACCAAGGCAACGAUGCAUAGCCGACCUGAGAGGGUGAUCGGCCACACUGGAACCGAGACACGGUCCAGACUCCUACGGGAGGCAGCAGUAGGGAAUCUUCCGCAAUGGGCGAAAGCCUGACGGAGCAACGCCGCGUGAGUGAUGAAGGUCUUCGGAUCGUAAAACUCUGUUAUUAGGGAAGAACAUAUGUGUAAGUAACUGUGCACAUCUUGACGGUACCUAAUCAGAAAGCCACGGCUAACUACG
rnacentral:rRNA from 1 species